UAAGGAAUAUUGGUCAAUGGACGCAAGUCUGAACCAGCCAUGCCGCGUGAAGGAUGAAGGUCCUCUGGAUUGUAAACUUCUUUUAUCUGGGACGAAAACGGGAUUUUUAUCUCAAUUGACGGUACCAGAGGAAUAAGCACCGGCUAACUCCGUGCCAGCAGCCGCGGUAAUACGGAGGGUGCGAGCGUUAUCCGGAUUUACUGGGUUUAAAGGGUGCGUAGGUGGGCUUAUAAGUCAGUGGUGAAAUCGCCGAGCUUAACUUGGAAGCUGCCGUUGAUACUAUAGGUCGUGAAUUAUCUGGAGNUAAGCGGAAUAUGUCAUGUAGCGGUGAAAUGCUUAGAUAUGACAAAGAACACCAAUUGCGAAGGCAGCUUACUACAUAUAAAUUGACGCUGAGGCACGAAAGCGUGGGGAUCAAACA
rnacentral:rRNA from 1 species